GCGUCGCGGACGUCGUCGGGUGGGGAGGACGGUUGAACGCUCUCCGCGCGCCGCCGAACGCAAUGAGUUUAAAGCCGCUAGAUUUGCAACAAUUUCGCGAUUUUUUCUCUUCGGGUGCCGCGCGGAUGGCCACCACCCCUCACGGCCCAUCCGAUUCGUUGGGAGGCGAGAUACUCUUCUUCACAGCACCACGUCUCGCUUGUUAAUCUGUUCUCGACGAAGCAAAGAACUUGGAAGGAGCAUUGAACACACUCGACACAAUGUUUGCUGGGGAUUGUAGCUGGAUUUCGAAUUCCGAUAGACUCGAUGCGAACAGCGGCCUGCGAACGCGAAUAACAUUUAUCUCAUGACCGUACGAAGAACUCGAUAGAUCGUAACGUCAAUUUUAUUUCUGCGAAAUCUGCGCAGAAAUGCACUUGAACUUCGACAUUGACUAUUCAAUAGUCAACACACCGAUCGCGGUUGUUAAAUGUUUCAUAAUCUUUAACAAUAAAUAAAUACUGAAUAA